AGUGAACGCUGGCGGCGUGCUUAACACAUGCAAGUCGAACGAGAACGGGUUAUAGCUUGCUAUAAUUGUCAGCUAAGUGGCGCACGGGUGAGUAAUGUAUAGGUAAUAUGCCUCUUACUAAGGGAUAACAAAUGGAAACGUUUGCUAAUACCUUAUACUCCUUAUUAACAUAAGUUAAUAAGGGAAAGAUUUAUUGGUAAGAGAUUAGCCUGUAUUGUAUCAGUUAGUUGGUGGGGUAAUGGCUUACCAAGACUAUGACACAUAACUGGUUUGAGAGGAUGAUCAGUCACACUGGAACUGAGACACGGUCCAGACUCCUACGGGAGGCAGCAGUGGGGAAUAUCGCACAAUGGACGGAAGUCUGAUGCAGCAACGCCGCGUGGAGGAUGACACAUUUCGGUGCGUAAACUCCUUCUAUAUGAGAAGAUAAUGACGGUAUUAUAUGAAUAAGCACCGACUAACUCCGUGCCAGCAGCCGCGGUAC
rnacentral:rRNA from 1 species